rnacentral:tmRNA from 1 species
GGGGAUGAUCGGUUUCGACAUCGCCUGCGAACCCACGAGAAGCGGGCCGAGGAUGCAGGGUUAUCUCGUAAACGAUCUCUGCGAAACAAUAACUGCCAAUAAGAAGCAGUCUGACUUCGCCCUCGCUGCCUAAGCGAGUGCGAUAGUCCGUCAGUCCGGGUUCGUUCCCGCCCCGGUUGCUGGCGUCAUCUAGGGGACUUGCUGCGCGUCGUCGCCUGAGCGACGUGCGGGACUCUUUCAGGCUGGGCCUGUCGACUUAGGUGCCUGUGGCAAAGGUCGGGGCCGAGCAGAACGCUUGCACAGGCUGCGCCCGGAGAAGGCGUGGAAUCACAGCGAUGGACGGGGGUUCAAUUCCCCCCAUCUCCACCA